rnacentral:hammerhead_ribozyme from 1 species
AUUCAGCUGACGAGUCCCGAAUAGAACGGAACGUGUGUCUUGGAC